rnacentral:misc_RNA from 1 species
UCUCCGUUGGUGAACCGGCGGAGGGAUCAUUACCGAGUUUACCACUCCCAAACCCCUGUGAACAUACCUGUUUUGUUGCUUCGGCGGUUCCCUCGCUCUCGCGGCGAGCCCCGCCCGCGGACCCAAACAAACUAUUUGACUUUGAUCUAGGAUUAUACUUCUGAGUGAUACAAAAAAUAAAAUCAAAACUUUCAACAACGGAUCUCUUGGUUCUG